rnacentral:misc_RNA from 1 species
GAAGUGCGACAAGUGUCAUGACUUGCAGAUUCCCGAGAGCUGACAAAUCUCUGAAUGCAAAUGGCGGUCGUCACAACGGCCAUGGAUUGCAGAGUGUAGUUGUUCAUACCUUUCAUCCCAUAUUCAUCAUCAUAUAUACAUGUUAUAUACGAUGGAUAUGUUAAGGCAUCUGCACUUAUGAUCCCCUCCAAUCAUCAUGAGUGUGAAACGAUAUGAAUCGAGUCUUCCAAUGGAUCAUGACGAUGCAUUGGAAAUCACUUCGAAUAGACCCGUUGAUAUGAUGCUUUGUAUCAUGUCAAAGAGUUAUAAUAGAAGUUGAGAAGAAGACUUGAAGAUCUAUAGAUAUAUAUAGAAAGCCACCUCUGCGAUGCAGGAAAACCCGCUGAACUUAA